UACGUAGGGUGCAAGCGUUAAUCGGAAUUACUGGGCGUAAAGCGUGCGCAGGCGGUGAUGUAAGACAGAUGUGAAAUCCCCGGGCUCAACCUGGGAACUGCAUUUGUGACUGCAUCGCUGGAGUGCGGCAGAGGGGGAUGGAAUUCCGCGUGUAGCAGUGAAAUGCGUAGAUAUGCGGAGGAACACCGAUGGCGAAGGCAAUCCCCUGG
rnacentral:rRNA from 1 species